UUGGAGGGAGGAACCCCUAUAGAGUUCCAAGGAGGCCGAUCCCCUAAAGAGAUCAACCUCAAGUUUAGAAUCUACAAGGGUUCUAACACUUGGUAUCAGAGCAGCGUUCUUGGCAUCUCGUUGCCCUUCCAUAGCCAUCCAUCAGCCAUCCACAACCGCCCAAAGCAAUUCCCACAAUUGCUUAAAGGAUCGUCGCCAAAUUCCACCAUCAUCUCCACCACCGUGGAUCAUCCCGUGAAUUGCAACAGGUUCUGGUUUCCUAUCUUACUGCUACUGCAAUUUAGUUAUCCCUAUCCGAAAAUCCAAAAAAAAAAAAAUUGUUCCUAUAUUGCUGCAUAAACUUUUCGUCACAAAGUUUUCAUCUCUACAACGAAAGAUACAUUACAGAAUUUCAGUCGCAUAGCACUGUUUGUUUGAUCUUGAUACUAUAUUUUCUCUGUCAUAUAAACUAAGAUAUUACUGUUAAUUCCCUCCUCAAAUCUCUCAAAUUUUUUGUGGAGAUUUCGUCGAGAAACCGCUGUUUCUUCGACGACAAUUUUGCUCUUACAAGACAACACAAUUCUGCAGCAAACUUUCACUGAUUUCUGUCAAACCUUUGCUGCCAUCCACCACAGAUCGAAAACUUUCAUCCAUAGCCCUAAAACUCCACCAAACCACACAUUCAAACUACACCCAAAAAAGCCACAAAACAAAUCUAAACCGCAUCCUACAUCUACCAAUCCACCGACCCUUUCAACCAUCACUUCUCUCAACCUAUACAUGCCUUUAACCCGUCAACAAAAGAGAGAUCUUAACAUCACAAAUUUAGAGUCAUAUACUAUGGCAUCUGAGGAGGCAAUCAAUGCUAAAUUUGAAGCCUUUGAGGCAAGAAUGGAGGAUAAGAUUCGGACUCUCCUUACUGAAUUCAGUUUGGGCCGACCACUAAGCCCGAAGAAAUCACAUCAAGAAGAGAGCUCUAACCAAUCACAUCAUGCCCAAAGAGAUGACUUCCAAAAGAGGGGAGGCUCUAUGACCGACCCCAACUAUUCGCGCAUGAGAGUGGACUUUCCUAGAUGGGAAGAAGGAGACCCAAUUGGUUGGAUCUCACGCGCGGAGCGAUAUUUUCGGUACCAUAAAACUACGGAUGCAUCCAUGGUGGAAAUUACAGCUAUACAUCUUGAAAGGGAUGCCAUACAAUGGUUUGACAAGUUUGAACACACUUAUGGAGUCCUUUCAUGGCGAUAAUUCAAAGAAGGACUACUGUUCCUCUUCGGACCAUCUUAUUAUGAGAAUAUUGACGGACAACUAGAAAAGAUCUGACAAACCUCCACCAUUGAAAGGUUAUCUAAUCAAACUCGUGAUUGGUUUGAAAAACAGCUAUUGAUGACCUUUAUUGAGGGCUUAAAGCCAGAGAUCCGGGGAGAAGUUAAGGCACAACAAUCAUACACGCUUAUGGCAGCCAUCUUUUUUACACGACUUCAAGAGGAGCGAUUGAACCAUGAAGCCCGGAGGACUAGGAUCACUCCUCGACCUACAAUACUAAAGCCCUCAGCCCCCCCUACUAUCAACCGAGUCCCUGCACCGAAAAGGUUAACAAGAGAAGAACUUCGGGAGCGAUCUGCGAAGGGGUUAUGUUGGCAUUGCGACGAGCCGUGGAGCCACGAGCAUCACUGUAGAAAAGGAAGACUUCUUAUGAUUGAACCAGUAGAAGAAGAGGUCAUUGAAAAUCUAGAAGAGAGCCUUGAAUAUGAAAUAGAAGAUAUAGAAGAAGAGCCACAACCGAUCGACAUUACGGUACACGCACUAGCCGGCUACUUAAACCGGCAAAUGAUGAAAGUUGGAGGCCUUCUCAAACAACAGCCGAUUACUGUUCUCAUCGACACGGGCAGCACUAAUAACUUCCUGAAUAGUAAGGUUGCUGCUCGGAUGACACUGAUAUUGAAGGUUGUAGCAAGUUCGAUGUAAAGGUGGCCGACGGCAGAAUCCUAAAGUGCGACCAAAGAUGCCUGCAAGUGAAACUAUUACUGCAAGACCAAGAAAUUAUCACCGAUUUCUUCCUCCUACCACUUGAUGAUUAUGAGGCAGUGCUUGGUAUAGAAUGGCUUACUACACUAGGUGAUGUCUCUUGGAACUUUUCUAAAUUAAUUAUGAAAUUCUACUAUAAGGGCAAACAGAUCAUCCUACGCGGGAAGCGCGGAAGCAACGUUACCACUGUUUCGACCCAACGAAUGGAGAAAGUUUUACACAAGGUAAAUGGUGACUUUUUGAUGCACCUCCAACAGCAACUAGAGGAGAAUAAAAUAGAAAUUGAAGAUCAAAAUCUUGCCCAUUUGCUUACUGAAUUUGUCGACAUUUUUGCUGAACCAUGCGGUCUUCCUCCUUCUCGAUAAUAUGACCAUCGAAUUCCAAUCCUUCCGGGCAAGCCACCUGCGAACACUCGACCGUAUCGAUAUCCUCACCUCCAAAAAGAUGAAAUUGAAAAGAUUGUAAAGGAGAUGCUUGAAACAGGGGUGAUUCGGCCAAGUUGCAGCCCCUAUUCCUCACUAGUGCUACUUGUACGCAAGAAGGACAGAACUUGGCGGAUGUGCAUCAACUACCGAGCUUUAAAUGGCAUCACCAUCAAGGAUAAGUACCCAAUACCAGUGGUGGAUGAACUUCUUGAUGAAUUAAAAGGAGCUCGAGUCUUCACGAAGUUGGACCUCCGAUCCGGUUACCACCAAAUUCGGGUAUGUGAAGAUGACAUUCCAAAAACUGCAUUCCGCACACAUGAUGGUCAUUAUGAAUUCUUGGUAAUGCCUUUUGGACUCACUAAUGCUCCUUCAACCUUUCAAAGUCUCAUGAAUGAUAUAUUUCGGAGCUUUCUUCAUCAAUUUGUGCUGGUAUUUUUCGAUGAUAUUCUCGUUUACAGCCCUUCUGUUGAGACUCAUUUUCAGCAUUUACGGAUUGUUUUGACGAUCCUUCGGGAGAAUACUCUUUUUGCUAAGCAACCAAAGUGCAGCUUUCUCCAAUAAAAAGUAGAGUACCUUGGGUAUAUAAUAUCAGAAGAAGGAGUGGUGGUAGACCCAACAAAAAUUGAGGCAAUGCAAGGCUGGCCGAAACCUACAAACGUGAAAUUACUAUGCGGGUUCCUUGGACUAACAGGCUACUACCGAAAAUUUGUUAAGGACUAUGGGAAGAUCAGUGCACUACUCACUUCUCUACUGAAAAAAGAUGCUUUCCAAUGGUCGGACAAAGCCUCUACUGCCUUCGAUAAACUUAAGGUAGCCAUGACAACGACGUUGGUGCUAGCGCUACCAGAUUUCAGCCGACCCUUCAUCAUUGAGACUGACGCAUCUAGAGUCAGAAUUGGAGUCGUUCACAUGCAAGAUGGUCGACCACUCGCAUACACUAGCAAGGCAUUAUCUCCCUCCAAUCAAAACAUGUUAGUAUAUGAUAAGGAGAUGCUCGCCAUUGUACACGUAGUAAUGAGGUGGAGACCCUAUCUGAUCAGCCGACGAUUUCAAAUUAAAACCGACCAUAAAAGCCUCAAGUAUUUUUUGGUGCAAAAGAUAUCAUCCUCUGAGCAACAAAAAUGGGUAACCAAACUUCUUGGAUUUGAUUAUGAAAUUAUUUACAAAAAGGGGAAAGAAAACGUUAUUGCAGAUGCACUCUCACGGCUACCUGAGCAAGCUAAGGUUUCAGCCAUCUCCCUUCCUACCACUAGUCUCCUAGUGGACAUUAGGGAAGAAUAGAAGAAGGAUCCAGAAAUCAGCAACAUUAUAAAAAAAUUGGAGGAGGAUCUAAGUGCAAUAGCCCAUUACACUUGGGAUUCGAGGGAUCUACGCUAUAAAGGUCGUAUUGUGCUUAUACCUGACUCCCCUUGUAUCACAAUCAUCCUGCAUGAAAUGCACUCCAUACCUUUAGUAGGGCACUCUGGAUUCCUAAGAACCUACAAAAGAGUGAAGCAAAAUUUUUAUUGUAGAGGGAUGAAAAAAAUUAUUGCUGAAUAUGUGGCACAAUGUGAUGUAUGUCAACAGCACAAGGGUGAAACUGUGGCAAAUCCAGGGAAACUACAACCACUACCUAUACCGGACUCGGUGUGGACUGACAUCUCCAUGAAGGGCUGCCACUUGCCAAAGGUAAAAGCACAAUUCUCAUGGUGGUUGAUCGACUUAAGAAAUAUGCUCAUUUUUGUACUGUGAGAAGUCCCUACACUACUGCUAGUAUUGCCCAAGUUUUUAUAGAAAAUAUUGUUAAAUUGCACGGGAUGCUGUUAAGACUCUAGCUAGGAGAGUCCUAAUUGAGAGGGACAUUAUGUUAGGACUCUAUUAGGACUCUAGCUAGGAGAGUCCUAAUUGAGAGGGACAUUCUGUUAGGACUCUAGCUAGGAGAGUCCUAAUUGAGAGGGACAUUCAUGUAGGAGUUUUUUCUUAGAGAAGAAUUUGGAGUUGUAAGGGAAUAGGAGUCUUGAGUAGGAGUCCUAUUAGGAGUUGGUUAGAAGUAAGAGUCUUAAGUAGGAGUCCUAUUAGGAGUUAGGGUUUAGAAUCCCUAUAAAUAGCCAUGUAUUCCUUCUCUUUUCUUAAGCAAUAGAUGAAUCUUUUCUGUAGCCUUUGAGUAGCAACUUGGAGGGAGGAACCCCUAUAGAGUUCCAAGGAGGUCGAUCCCCUAAAGAGAUCAACCCCAAGUUUAGAAUCUACAAGGGUUCUAACACCUGGUAUCAGAGCAGCGUUCUUGGCGUCUCGUUGCCCUUCCACAGCCAUCCAUCAACCCUCCACAACCAUCCAAAGCAAUUCCCACAAUUGCUUAAAAGAUCGUCGCCGAAUUCC
rnacentral:lncRNA from 1 species